rnacentral:tRNA from 1 species
GGAAUGUGGCUCAAGCGGUAGCGCGCUUGCCUGGCAUGCACAAGGCGCUGGGUUCGAUCCUCAGCACCA